rnacentral:rRNA from 1 species
AAAUGAAUAGACGGGGACCCGCACAAGCGGUGGAUGAUGUGGUUUAAUUCGAUGCAACGCGAAAAACCUUACCCACCUUUGACAUGUACGGAAUCCUUUAGAGAUAGAGGAGUGCUCGAAAGAGAGCCGUAACACAGGUGCUGCAUGGCUGUCGUCAGCUCGUGUCGUGAGAUGUUGGGUUAAGUCCCGCAACGAGCGCAACCCUUGUCAUUAGUUGCUACAUUUAGUUGGGCACUCUAAUGAGACUGCCGGUGACAAACCGGAGGAAGGUGGGGAUGACGUCAAGUCCUCAUGGCCCUUAUAGGUGGGGCUACACACGUCAUACAAUGGAUGGUACAAAGGGUCGCCAACCCGCGAGGGGGAGCCAAUCCCAUAAAGCCAUUCGUAGUCCGGAUCGUAGUCUGCAACUCGACUACGUGAAGUCGGAAUCGCUAGUAAUCGUGGAUCAGAAUGUCACGGUGAAUACGUUCCCGGGUCUUGUACACACCGCCCGU